UCACUGGUGCAAAAAACAAACAGAAAAUCCAGUGAGCAGCAGUUCUGCGGACAGAAACACCUUGAGAGACGUCAGAGGAGAAUAGCCAAACUGGUCAAAGCUGACAGGAAGGUGACAGUAUCACAAAUAACCACACAUUACAACAGUGGUAUGCAGAAGAGCCUCUCUGAACACACAACGGAUAGGCUACAGCAGUAGAAUUGAUAGGCUACAGCAGAAGUCUAAAAAAUACCUGAUAAAUUUCUCACUGCUUACUCUGAGCAACUUAAUAUUCAACCACAGGCAUUUACUGAAUAAUUUAUGGAAGUACCUUACCCAAGGGUAGGCUACCACAACAGUUCACAAUCAAGGAUUAAAACCUUGGAGGUGCAAACCUAUCCCUAACCAUGAUGCUGCACUGUCACCUUCGCAUACAUGACGGCUUUGAUAUCAAAAGCGACUGCGACCCAGCAGUUCUCAUUUUGGAGUACAAACCAGGUCAGGAAUGUGUUUACCUCGUGUGAACUUACUAUGAUGUUAAACAGCAUGCUUUUCAAAUGCGGUAUUACAUCGCCAUGGAAACUGUUCUCAAGCCAAUUAGAACGUCAUCCAAUGAAAAGGACUUAAUAGGAGUGAACAAAGGGCCCCGAACUUGUUUGCCUGAGCAAGAACGUCUUUAGUCUACGUCGGACGAAACCAAAGCUUCAUUUAAAGGGCUAAAGAAAUCAAAAUGUCUGGAUUUACUCAUUCUUUCAGUUUUCUUAGAAGCAAAAUGAGACCACUGACCACUCUCAAAGCCAACAUUGUGACCAAGCCGGCGAAGCACACUAUAUCCAUUGGUGAGCAAGUUUUUGUGAUGGGCGUGAUGUUCGUCACCGUUUUGGGACCGUCAGGGUGGAUUCUCGCCAAUUUGGAAGCGUACAAAGCCCGCUGAAUGACCUCGUUAAAUCGUCGUCCUGGAAUAACCAUUUUCGAAGACCCUUUUGCUCUUACCGAUGUUCAGAAUGGUUUUAAUGGCCUCAAAACUCCUAAUAAAUAUAAAGGAAAUUAUA